ensembl:snoRNA
UGGAUCAGUGAUGAUCCAUGCCAACGUAUAAGUCUUUGAUGAAGAAUAGUACGUGUCUGGAACUCUGAGGUCUUU